ACGGCUCAGUAACACGUGGCCAACCUGCCCCAAGGAGGAGGAUAACCCCGGGAAACUGGGGUAUAAACCUCCAUAGGCGAUGGGCUCUGGAAGGACCCGUCGCCAAAAGUAUGCCAGGAGGGUGCUUCUGGCAUAGCCUUGGGAUGGGGCUGCGGCCGAUCAGGUAGUUGGUGGGGUAACGGCCCACCAAGCCUGUAACCGGUACGGGCCCUGAGAGGGGGAGCCCGGAGAUGGACUCUGAGACAAGAGUCCAGGUCCUACGGGGCGCAGCAGGCGCGAAACCUUCGCAAUGCGCGCAAGCGCGACGAGGCCAUCCCGAGUGCCACCCUCGUGGUGGCUUUUGCCCAGUGUGAACAGCUGGGCGAAUAAGCGGGGGGCAAGACGGGUGUCAGCCGCCGCGGUAAUACCCGCUCCGCGAGUGGUGGGGACUUUUAUUGGGCUUAAAGCGUCCGUAGCCGGCCUAGUGUGUUCUCCGUUAAAUCCGGCGGCCUAACCGCCGGGCUGCGGAGAUUACUACUGGGCUUGGGGAUGGGAAAGGCCGACGGUACUCCCGGGGUAGGGGUAAAAUCCACUGAUCCCGGGGGGACCACCAGUGGCGAAGGCGGUCGGCCAGAACACGCCCGACGGUGAGGGACGAAAGCUGGGGGAGCGAACGGGAUUAGAUACCCCGGUAGUCCCAGCCGUAAACGAUGCGGGCCAGGUGUCGCGCCAGCUACGGGCUGGCGCGGUGCCGAAGGGAAACCAUUAAGCCCGCCGCCUGGGGAGUACGGCCGCAAGGCUGAAACUUAAAGGAAUUGGCGGGGGAGCAC
rnacentral:rRNA from 1 species